rnacentral:lncRNA from 1 species
UGGGAACAUAGACGAGUCUGUAAAAUAUGGCCCUCAUUUAGUCGCCCAAAUGACAGCUGCUCUAUUUUAAAAACUUUACCUCAACUGUAAUGGUUGGGAGUCUGAAAAAAUCUUAAUUUUGCUUUUGAAUCACUUUAGACUGCAUCCCUAUUUUACUUAUGGGAGUCAUUUACUGACUUCUACUUGAUUUCUUCUGUCAGUCUUAUGCUGAAGGGGUUCCUGAGCACGAACUGCAGAUAGGCUGGGGCAGAGUUUUGUUCAUGUAUGAACUGAUUUCUCCUGCUAUUGCUUGAAAUUAUGACAGCAAACUUCCUCAUCUCAAUGAGACUUUUUUUUCUGUUUUUUCUUUUCUUUUGCGGAGUGGUCUGAAAUGAUUAGAUCCAUGGGAAUGGAAGCUUUCAGAAGGAGGAAGGUGCAGUGUGGUAACUUCUCCCUUGCUUGAGUGGGGAAGUUGGAGAGUGGCAGACAUGUUGGCAUGGGAGACUGAGAAAACUGCAGUAAAAAUAGCAGCUUAGGACCCUCGCUCCAAUAAAUCUAUGGCUGGGUUUGAACCAACUGGAGUUAAAGGCAGGAAUAAGUUCUGCAUUCACAUCCUGCAUCAGAGGCAUUCCUGCAUCGAGAGUGAAGCUGGACAAUGCAGUUUCUUGUGCCUGGACAAGGAGAGGCAGGAGAUGAGCAGGUGAGAAAGAGAGUCUUUGAAUUGAUAAGGCUGGGCCUUGAAGCUCAGCAGGCUCAGCAGCCCUGAAAUGCUAAAAUUGUAGUAUGACUUGAUCAACAGCAAAAAGAAUCUGAAAGAGCAGAAAGGAGUCCACUUAACCUGGAUCAUUUCAGCACUCUUGUUUACAGCAGGGUCUGCAGUGAGGACAGAGAAAUACUGACAUAACCGAGAGCUAUGAAAUGUAGUGGAUUUGGAGAUCUGCUUUGCUGCAGAGGCAUGGUUUGUAGAUUCACACUGAGCAUUGUGGUCAUGGCAGCAGGGAAGACUGCAGUUUCCAAAGCUGUGUGCUUUUGAAAACAUGUAGGGGAGCUAAGGUAGCAUGGAUAGCAUGCAGCUAUUCCUGCAGCAUUCCAUGACCUGAAAUUCUGCACUGAGAAACAGAAAUGUGCAUGAGGUCCUUCCUGAUGGGGAACACCCAGCUCUGCUGACAGGUCCCACUGACUUCAGUUCUUAAGGUUAAGCACAUAGUAUAAUCUUUC